rnacentral:ncRNA from 1 species
CAUCCUGCGAUGGUCCACGGUCCCCGCGAGGGGAUAACCGGGAAUCCGGUGCGCGCGGCAGACCCGCGCAAGUCCGGAGCUGCCCCCGCAACUGUAGGCGGUGACGGCGCCCAAUCGAGCCACUGGCGAAAGCUGGGAAGGCGGGCGGCCGGACGAUCCGCGAGCCAGGAGACCUACCGCGGACGCGAACGUCGU